rnacentral:rRNA from 1 species
GGUUAAGCGACUAAGCGUACACGGUGGAUGCCCUGGCAGUCAGAGGCGAUGAAGGACGUGCUAAUCUGCGAAAAGCGCCGGCGAGGUGAUAUGAACCCUUGACCCGGCGAUGUCCGAAUGGGGAAACCCAGUGCAAUCCGUUGCACUAUCGUUAACUGAAUACAUAGGUUAACGAGGCGAACCGGGGGAACUGAAACAUCUAAGUACCCCGAGGAAAAGAAAUCAACCGAGAUUCCCCCAGUAGCGGCGAGCGAACGGGGAGCAGCCCGGAGUCUGAAUCAGCUUGUGUGUUAGUGGAACGGUCUGGAAAGUCCGACGGUACAGGGUGAUAGUCCCGUACACGAAAAUGCACAUGCUGUGAACUCGAAGAGUAGGGCGGGACACGUGGUAUCCUGUCUGAAUAUGGGGGGACCAUCCUCCAAGGCUAAAUACUCCUGACUGACCGAUAGUGAACCAGUACCGUGAGGGAAAGGCGAAAAGAACCCCGGCGAGGGGAGUGAAAAAGAACCUGAAACCGUGUACGUACAAGCAGUGGGAGCCUCUUUAUGGGGUGACUGCGUACCUUUUGUAUAAUGGGUCAGCGACUUAUAUUCUGUAGCAAGGUUAACCGUAUAGGGGAGCCGAAGGGAAACCGAGUCUUAACUGGGCGUUAAGUUGCAGGGUAUAGACCCGAAACCCGGUGAUCUAGCCAUGGGCAGGUUGAAGGUUGGGUAACACUAACUGGAGGACCGAACCGACUAAUGUUGAAAAAUUAGCGGAUGACCUGUGGCUGGGGGUGAAAGGCCAAUCAAACCGGGAGAUAGCUGGUUCUCCCCGAAAGCUAUUUAGGUAGCGCCUCGUGAACUCAUCUUCGGGGGUAGAGCACUGUUUCGGCUAGGGGGCCAUCCCGGCUUACCAACCCGAUGCAAACUACGAAUACCGAAGAAUGUUAUCACGGGAGACACACGGCGGGUGCUAACGUCCGUCGUGAAGAGGGAAACAACCCAGACCGCCAGCUAAGGUCCCAAAGUCAUGGUUAAGUGGGAAACGAUGUGGGAAGGCACAGACAGCCAGGAUGUUGGCUUAGAAGCAGCCAUCAUUUAAAGAAAGCGUAAUAGCUCACUGGUCGAGUCGGCCUGCGCGGAAGAUGUAACGGGGCUAAACCAUGCACCGAAGCUGCGGCAGCGACACUUAUGUGUUGUUGGGUAGGGGAGCGUUCUGUAAGCCGUUGAAGGUGUGCUGUGAGGCAUGCUGGAGGUAUCAGAAGUGCGAAUGCUGACAUAAGUAACGAUAAAGCGGGUGAAAAGCCCGCUCGCCGGAAGACCAAGGGUUCCUGUCCAACGUUAAUCGGGGCAGGGUGAGUCGACCCCUAAGGCGAGGCCGAAAGGCGUAGUCGAUGGGAAACAGGUUAAUAUUCCUGUACUUGGUGUUACUGCGAAGGGGGGACGGAGAAGGCUAUGUCAGCCGGGCGACGGUUGUCCCGGUUUAAGCAUGUAGGCGGAGGUUCCAGGUAAAUCCGGUACCUUGUUAACGCUGAGGUGUGAUGACGAGGCACUACGGUGCUGAAGUGAUAAAUGCCCUGCUUCCAGGAAAAGCCUCUAAGCAUCAGGUAACACGAAAUCGUACCCCAAACCGACACAGGUGGUCAGGUAGAGAAUACCAAGGCGCUUGAGAGAACUCGGGUGAAGGAACUAGGCAAAAUGGUGCCGUAACUUCGGGAGAAGGCACGCUGAUGUGUAGGUGAAGCCCCUGCGGGUGGAGCUGAAAUCAGUCGAAGAUACCAGCUGGCUGCAACUGUUUAUUAAAAACACAGCACUGUGCAAACACGAAAGUGGACGUAUACGGUGUGACGCCUGCCCGGUGCCGGAAGGUUAAUUGAUGGGGUUAGCGGCAACGCGAAGCUCUUGAUCGAAGCCCCGGUAAACGGCGGCCGUAACUAUAACGGUCCUAAGGUAGCGAAAUUCCUUGUCGGGUAAGUUCCGACCUGCACGAAUGGCGUAAUGAUGGCCAGGCUGUCUCCACCCGAGACUCAGUGAAAUUGAACUCGCUGUGAAGAUGCAGUGUACCCGCGGCAAGACGGAAAGACCCCGUGAACCUUUACUAUAGCUUGACACUGAACACUGGUCCUUGAUGUGUAGGAUAGGUGGGAGGCUUUGAAGCGUGGACGCCAGUCUGCGUGGAGCCAACCUUGAAAUACCACCCUUUAAUGGCUGGUGUUCUAACGUAGACCCGUAAUCCGGGUUGCGGACAGUGUCUGGUGGGUAGUUUGACUGGGGCGGUCUCCUCCCAAAGAGUAACGGAGGAGCACGAAGGUUGGCUAAUCCUGGUCGGACAUCAGGAGGUUAGUGCAAUGGCAUAAGCCAGCUUGACUGCGAGCGUGACGGCGCGAGCAGGUGCGAAAGCAGGUCAUAGUGAUCCGGUGGUUCUGAAUGGAAGGGCCAUCGCUCAACGGAUAAAAGGUACUCCGGGGAUAACAGGCUGAUACCGCCCAAGAGUUCAUAUCGACGGCGGUGUUUGGCACCUCGAUGUCGGCUCAUCACAUCCUGGGGCUGAAGUAGGUCCCAAGGGUAUGGCUGUUCGCCAUUUAAAGUGGUACGCGAGCUGGGUUUAGAACGUCGUGAGACAGUUCGGUCCCUAUCUGCCGUGGGCGCUGGAGAAUUGAGGGGGGCUGCUCCUAGUACGAGAGGACCGGAGUGGACGCAUCACUGGUGUUCGGGUUGUCAUGCCAAUGGCACUGCCCGGUAGCUAAAUGCGGAAGAGAUAAGUGCUGAAAGCAUCUAAGCACGAAACUUGCCCCGAGAUGAGUUCUCCCUGAGACUUUAAGUCUCCUGAAGGAACGUUGAAGACGACGACGUUGAUAGGUCGGGUGUGUAAGCGCAGCGAUGCGUUGAGCUAACCGAUACUAAUGAACCGUGAGGCUUAACCUU